rnacentral:tRNA from 1 species
ACUUAAAUAAUUUAAAAAAAAUAUUGAUUUGUGGAAUCAAAUAUAUGGAAAAUAUUCAUUUUAAGUC